rnacentral:rRNA from 1 species
AUGGCGAGCCCAUGGGGCAGCCCCUCGAGCAGCCUGUGGGUCACGCUGGGUCAGGCCUCCAACGUGGCGCAGCUAGUCGGCGUGGACGCGCUCGGGCUAAUCUCCAUGGUCGUGCAGGCCGCCCUGGCUGCGCGCCGCCACCGGGACGCCUGCAUGCAGCUCGCGCAGCACGUCGAGCUCGUCGGCGGCUUGCUGAAGGAGCUGGAGCUCGCCGAUCUGAUGCGGCGGGAGGCCACCAGGCGGCCGCUGGAGCAGCUCCGCGGCGCGCUGCGGCGGUGCUACGCGCUCGUGACCGCGUGCCAGGACUGCAGCUACCUCCGCCGCCUGCUCCUCGGCGCACGGAUGGGCAACGAGCUCCGCGCCGCGCAGCACGAGAUCGAUAUGUUCAUCCGCCUCAUCCCGCUCAUCGCCCUCGUCGACAAUUCUACAAACACUCAUCGUAUCCAGGAAGCUGCGGAGCAGGUCGACGGUAUAUUCAUAGAAGGUUCAAACCACCGUGUCAGGUUUGCAGCAAGAGUUUUAGAUAUUACUGAGAUACGUGUCCAAGGAGCUCGCAAACUCUGCAAUGUUCGGGAACAUCCGUCACUAGGAAUUGUAGGCACGCAAGAACAGAAAACCCUCGACAACAAAGAACUAGUGAAGCUUUGUAUGCUCACGGUAGAAAAUUACCCAGGAUUCACAGAGUUCAGCUACUUUCAAAUCAUGGAUGCUACAGAUAAUUUCUCAGAGAAGAGAUAUCUUGGGUCUGGUGGAUUUGCAACAGCAUACAAGGGUCAGUUGCCCCAAGGAUUUGUGGUUGGCAUCAAAAGAUUCGAUCACCGUGCAACAUUAUCUGAUUUCAGCAAUGAAUUGCAGCUUGCUAGGCUUCAGUAUACCAAUAUAAUAAGGUUACUGGGGUGGUGCAUCCAUGGAAAAGAAAGGAUUCUGAUCUACAAGUUCAUGCAGAAUGGUUCCUUGGACCGUCACAUAUUUGACAGGAUAAAAGGACCGUUGCUAGAUUGGUCUAAGAGACUCAAAAUAAUCAAGGGGUUGGUAGAGGGGCUUGUUUACCUGCACAAACACUCAAUGUUACAUAUUGUCCAUAGGGACUUGAAACCAAAUAACAUUCUCUUGGAAUAUGACAUGACCCCAAAGAUUUGUGAUUUUGGAUCAGCGAAAACACUGUGUUCAGACAUAACAGAAGAGCACACAAGCAGGGUGGUGGCCACUAGUGGUUACAUUGCUCCAGAGUAUGCAUCUCGAGGAGUUUACUCACUGAAGACAGAUGUCUUCAGCUUUGGCAUCUUGGUUCUGGAGACCAUUAGCGGACGAAAGAACACUGUACUCGACAAGCGAGGGGAUACUGUUGGCGAUCUUGUACGAGAUGCCUGGCAUAUGUGGAAGGACCAAAGGUUGCGUGAGCUUGUGGAUCCGUCUCUAGGGAACGGAUACGACAUCGCCGAGAUAACGCGAUGUGCUCAGGUGGCACUGCUCUGUUCUCAGGAAGAUCCAGCAGAUCGGCCCACCAUGACUGACAUAGCUGCAAUGCUGAGCUCUGAAAGCAUGAGGCUACCAGUGGAGCCUAAGCGGCCUUACGUGCUGAGUGAAGGGGGUGCUGGUGAAGAUACAUACAUAAACCAAUCAAGCCGGACAAUAGACAUAACCAUAACGAGUUCAGCCACAGUGCUGACUAGAGUUCGAAUCAUCGUAGACCCGGAGGUUUGA